rnacentral:rRNA from 1 species
AUUGAACGCUGGCGGCAGGCUUAACACAUGCAAGUCGAGCGAGCGGCGGACGGGUGAGUAAUGUCUGGGAAACUGCCUGAUGGAGGGGGAUAACUACUGGAAACGGUAGCUAAUACCGCAUACCAUCAGAUGUGCCCAGAUGGGAUUCGCUAGUAGGUGGGGUAAUGGCUCACCUAGGCGACGAUCCCUAGCUGGGCUGAGAGGAAGACCGUCCCCACUGGAACUUAGACACGGUCCAGACUCCUACGUGAGGCAGCAGUGGGGAAUAUUGUACAAUGGGCGCAAGCCUGAUGCAGCCAUGCCGCGUGUGUGAAGAAGGCCUUCGGGUUGUAAAGCACUUUCAGCGAGGAGGCGUUACUCGCAGAAGAAGCACCGGCUAACUCCGUGCCAGCAGCCGCGGUAAUAC